CCUACGGGUGGCAGCAGUGAGGAAUAUUGGUCAAUGGACGAGAGUCUGAACCAGCCAAGUAGCGUGAAGGAUGAAUGCCCUAUGGGUUGUAAACUUCUUUUAUAAAGGAAUAAAACGAGGCACGUGUGCCUUUUUGCAUGUACUUUAUGAAUAAGGAUCGGCUAACUCCGUGCCAGCAGCCGCGGUAAUACGGAGGAUCCGAGCGUUAUCCGGAUUUAUUGGGUUUAAAGGGAGCGUAGAUGGGUUGUUAAGUCAGUUGUGAAAGUUUGCGGCUCAACCGUAAAAUUGAAAUUGAUACUGGCAGUCGUGAGUACAGUUGAGGUAGGCGGAAUUCGUGGUGUAGCGGUGAAAUGCUUAGAUAUCACGAAGAACCCCGAUUGCGAAGGCAGCUUACUAAACUGUGACUGACAUUGAUGCUCGAAAGUGUGGGUAUCAAACAGGAUUAGAUACCCUUGUAGUC
rnacentral:rRNA from 1 species